rnacentral:rRNA from 1 species
UUCGGGUCGGAGCUCUGGGCCACCUCCCACCCGUGUCUCUUGCGUACUUUGUUGCUUUGGCGGGCCCACUGGGUCACUCCGGUCGCCGGGGAGCGCUAUGCUCCCGGGCCCGUGCCCGCCAGAGCACCCCUGUGAAACCCUGAUGAAGAGAGGCUGUCUGAGUCCCACGAUAAUCGUUAAAACUUUCAACAAUGGAUCUCUUGGUUCCGGCAUCGAUGAAGAACGCAGCGAAAUGCGAUAAGUAAUGUGAAUUGCAGAAUUCCGUGAAUCAUCGAAUCUUUGAACGCACAUUGCGCCCCCUGGCAUUCCGGGGGGCAUGCCUGUCCGAGCGUCAUUUCUGCCCUCAAGCGCGGCUUGUGUGUUGGGCGUGGUCCCCCUGGCUUUGGCGGGGACCUGCCCGAAAGGCAGCGGCGAUGUCCCGCCUAGUCCUCGAGCGUAUGGGGCUCUGUCACGCGCUCGGGAGGGACUGGUGGGCGUUGGUCACCCCUUAUUCUUUCUACGGUUGACCUCGGAUCAGGUAGGAGUUACCCGCUGAACUUAAGCAUAUCAAUAAGCGGAGGAA